rnacentral:rRNA from 1 species
CAUAACGACUCUCGGCAACGGAUAUCUCGGCUCUCGCAUCGAUGAAGAACGUAGCAAAAUGCGAUACGUGGUGUGAAUUGCAGAAUCCCGUGAACCAUCGAGUUUUUGAACGCAAGUUGCGCCCGAAGCCUUUAGGCCGAGGGCACGUCUGCCUGGGCGUCACGC